UUUGGAGGGCAAGUCUGGUGCCAGCAGCCGCGGUAAUUCCAGCUCCAAUAGCGUAUAUUAAAGUUGUUGCAGUUAAAAAGCUCGUAGUUGAAUUUCGGGAUUAGUACGUCGGUCGUGCCUUAGGUACGUACUGGUGUUACUGGUUCCUACCUUCUGACGAACCAUCAUGUCAUUAAUUUGGUGUGGUGGGGAAUCAGGACUGUUACUUUGAAAAAAUUAGAGUGUUUAAAGCAGGCUCGCGCUUGAAUACAUUAGCAUGGAAUAAUGAAAUAGGACGUUGAUCCUAUUUUGUUGGUUUCUAGGAUUGACGUGAUGAUUAAUAGGGAUAGUUGGGGGCAUUAGUAUUCAAUUGUCAGAGGUGAAAUUCUUGGAUUUANUGAAGACUAACUACUGC
rnacentral:rRNA from 1 species